rnacentral:lncRNA from 1 species
UUGUUGAAAGGAGGAGAACACUACGUAUUUCCAUUAGUGAUCCGAAUGGAAACAUUGCCAAAGUCGCCCCCAGCUGAUGAGCCGCCGCGAGAAUCAUUGCCUCUUGGAGCUCCCCUACCAGACUGGGUGCACGCACAGAUCACACAAGCAACUAUUGAGAAGAAGGACGAUGAUUCAUACCAGGUGCGGGUGGUGAAGCAAAUUCUUUGGAUCUCUGGCCUCCGAUAUGAGCUACAAGAAAUCUAUGGAAUCGAUAACAGUGGAAUAGGUGGUAAUUUUGAUGGCACUGUUGCUGGGAAAGCAUGCGUCGUGUGUAUGUCAGAACCUCGGGAUACCACUGUUCUGCCUUGUCGACACAUGGUGAGACUGCUUGUUCCUGUUUGGAUUUACUUAAUUUGCCUAAACUAACGGGGAAAGAAAUGUAACUCUUGAAGGUUUCUACUCGCCAACAAUCUGAUUACAAGAAAAAUUCCAUAAAGUUCUGCUCGAUUUUAGAAAAAAAACGAUACUGGCACAUCUUUUUCUUGUUCCGUGUGGCAGCCUUCUUGACAUUCUUCUUCUUCGUCUUCUUCUUCUUCAUUUUCUUUUACUUACUUUUUUUAGUGAGUGUAAGUCCCAUUUAUAUUAUAUUGAUACUUGAGUUGAACAACGAUUGCAACAUUGACAAUGCCACAAGUUUCCAGGGGCUUAUCUGCAUCCUACUAAUGAAGGGUGUGUUAUUGGGAUGGGAAUGGCUUACAGUGUAUGUGUAGUGAAUGCGCCAAGGUAUUGAGAUUCCAAACCAAUCGCUGCCCCGUUUGUCGUACCCCAGUGGAGAAAUUGUUAGAAAUAAAAGUGCCCAAGAGAGGUUCUGAGCUCGGUGGCGCU